UACGUAGGGUGCAAGCGUUAAUCGGAAUUACUGGGCGUAAAGAGUGCGUAGGCGGCUAUGUAAGACAGAUGUGAAAUCCCCGGGCUUAACCUGGGAACUGCGUUUGUGACUGGAAGGCUAGAGUAUGGCAGAGGGGGGUGGAAUUCCACGUGUAGCAGUGAAAUGCGUAGAGAUGUGGAGGAACACCGAUGGCGAAGGCAGCCCCCCUGGGCCAAUACUGACGCUCAUGCACGAAAGCGUGGGGAGCAAACAGG
rnacentral:rRNA from 1 species